rnacentral:lncRNA from 1 species
CAGGGAGUGCCGUGCUGCCCACUAUAGUCUGCGGAGGCUGGCUGAGCAGACAAGGUCUCACUAUGUAGCCCACGCUGGUCUCAAACCCACAGCGAUCCGCUUACCUCAGCCUCCUGAGUGCUGGGAUUACAGGAGUGUGCUGCCAUGUCCAGCUAGCAGGGGUUUUUUUUAAUCAAGGAACGAACUCAGGAUCCUGCGCUUGGGAGGCAAGUGCAGCACCACUGAAGUACGGGGAUCACACUCAGGACUUUGCUCUUGCCAGGCAGGCACCGUGGUACUGAGCUGCAUCCCUGGCCCUGAAGCAGUUCUGAAGUCCUUUCAUGUCUUUUUAUGAUCAAAAACCCAGUGAACGCUGCUGCCAAGUACAGAGGAAAGGCGGGCUUGUAAAAGAUUACAUUAUGUCCUCAUCCACCUUAUUCAUUGGAUCUGGCCCCGUGUGGUUUCUGGCUUCUCCCCAAAGGAAAAAGUAACCGUGAAAAAGGUAAACAUGUUCAGUCCAUUCAGGACAUCAGGUAGCCACAACAGUGCAGCUAGUCACAAAGAACCCUCCAGAACUGCUUCAGAAAGAUGAAUUGUGUUCGAAGGGGGAGUAUUCUGAGGAUUAAUAGCAAUGUCUUUUACUGUACUCAGUGAC